GACGUAGGCACCAAGCGUUGUCCGGAUUUAUUGGGCGUAAAGAGCUCGUAGGCGGUUCAGUAAGUCAGGUGUGAAAUCUUUGGGCUUAACCCAAAGCGUGCACUUGAUACUGCUGUGACUUGAGUUCGGUAGGGGAGUGGGGAAUUCCUAGUGUAGCGGUGAAAUGCGCAGAUAUUAGGAGGAACACCGGUGGCGAAGGCGCCACUCUGGGCCGAAACUGACGCUGAGGAGCGAAAGCGUGGGUAGCAAACAGG
rnacentral:rRNA from 1 species